GAACGCUGGCGGCGUGCCUAAUACAUGCAAGUCGAGCGCAGGAAGUCAUCCGAACCCUUCGGGGGGACGUUGACGGAAUGAGCGGCGGACGGGUGAGUAACACGUAAAGAACCUGCCCUCAGGUCUGGGAUAACCACGAGAAAUCGGGGCUAAUACCGGAUGGGUCAUCUGGACCGCAUGGUCCGAGGAUGAAAGGCGCUUCGGCGUCGCCUGGGGAUGGCUUUGCGGUGCAUUAGCUAGUUGGUGGGGUAACGGCCCACCAAGGCGACGAUGCAUAGCCUACCUGAGAGGGUGAUCGGCCACACUGGCUGAGACACGGCCCAGACUCCUACGGGAGGCAGCAGUAGGGAAUCUUCCACAAUGGACGAAAGUCUGAUGGAGCAACGCCGCGUGAACGAUGAAGGCCUUCGGGUCGUAAAGUUCUGUUGUAAGGGAAGAACAGGUGCCGCAGGCAAUGGCGGCACCUUGACGUACCUGCGAGAAGCC
rnacentral:rRNA from 1 species